rnacentral:lncRNA from 1 species
AAAAAAAAAGAGCAGGGAACAAAAACUCUUAUUCCAAUUUCACAAAUGUUAACUCUCAUUAUCUUCAUCUUCAUCUUCUUCCUCUUCACCUUCUUCAUCUUCACCUCCAUCGACGCCCACGUCUUCAUCUAUGGCGGCUGCUCCCAAGACAAAUACCCGCCAAACUCGCCCUACGAAGCCAACAAAAACUCCUUCCUCUCAUCCAUCGCCGCCGCCUCCUCCGUCGCCCUCUAC